UACGUAGGGGGCAAGCGUUAUCCGGAUUUACUGGGUGUAAAGGGAGCGUAGACGGCGAUGUAAGUCUGGAGUGAAAGCCCGGGGCUCAACCCCGGGACUGCUUUGGAAACUGUGUUGCUAGAGUGCAGGAGAGGUAAGUGGAAUUCCUAGUGUAGCGGUGAAAUGCGUAGAUAUUAGGAGGAACACCAGUGGCGAAGGCGGCUUACUGGACUGUAACUGACGUUGAGGCUCGAAAGCGUGGGGAGCAAACAGG
rnacentral:rRNA from 1 species